AGGGUUGCCCAGGGAGAUAGAAUGUCAUCGGAAUGCCCAUAGACAUCUAAAGCAGUGCAGUGAUUUGGAGGAAAUUAAUGUUUCUGAAAUUGUUGGAUCAUAAAGUUCAAGGGGCAAAAUAUUAGAACUUGAAGCUGGAACAAUAAACAAGGGUCAGAUGACAGAGAUCCAGUUAGACCAUGUUGAAGACCUCAGAUUGUAUCCUUUCAGUGAUGGGAACAUUGAAACACUUCAUCUCUCUGUUGCCCUUUCUUUGCAAAUGGGACAGACUCAGGGCAUUCAGAAUAGAAUGUUCUGCUGAGUUGUUGUGAAAACCACAAUGUAAGGAGAAGCAUGAAAAAUGCUGCAUAUGCCAUGAAACGAAGAAGCCACGCUUGAAAUCAGAAUCUCCAACAAACCCCGGAUCAAUUGUGGCAUCCUUAGCUUGGCCAUUGAACAGCUAAGGAGAGGGAAUCACUCCAAGGGUGUUUUUUUUUUUUUUUUCCUUUCCUUGAGAUUUUGAAAGGUCUAGAAAAAAGAAGAAUUACAUGAAGAUACGUGGAGACAACAACCUUUUGUAGCCAAGGGGAGAGGUUCAGAAGAAACAAAGCCUGCUGAUAUCUUGAUCUUGGGGUCUAACAUCCAGAACAGUGAUAAAAUAAAUGUUAUUUAAGCCACUCAGUCUGUGGUAUUGGUGACAACAGUCCAAGCAGACUAAUGCAAGCCCUGACACAGACUUUAUGCAACUUAAUUCUCUUUUCUCACUCAUGAUUUUCUCCUCUGUAAUAAACUCUAAUUAUCAGUGAUGAAAAUUAAAUGUGUGAAUGUUUACAUCAUUGUUUAAAGAUGAGCAAAGAAAACCAACACCCUUGUUUUUGUUUAACGGAUAUACUUAUUUUUGAAUGGAAAUGUUUAAGCAGAUGCAGAUUUUUUUUUUAACAAAAUAAAAUACUAUCCUUUUCUGA